CCUUUGGGUGGGGAAUAACAGCCGGAAACGGCUGCUAAUACCGCAUAAUGCAGCGGCUCGACAUCGAGACAGUUGUUAAAGCGGGGGAUUGGAGCAAUCCGACCUCGCGCCUAAAGAGAAGCCUGCGGCAGAUUAGCUAGUUGGUAAGGUAAUGGCUUACCAAGGCGACGAUCUGUAACCGGCCUGAGAGGGCGGUCGGUCACACUGACACUGACAUACGGGUCAG
rnacentral:rRNA from 1 species